rnacentral:rRNA from 1 species
UACAGAGGCCACGAGCGUUAGGCGGAAUCACUGGGCUUAAAGCGUGUGUAGGUGGAUGGGUAAGUACCUUGUGAAAUCCCACGGCUCAACCGUGGAACUGCUUGGUAUACUGCCUGUCUUGAGGCACUCAGGGGCGAGCGGAACAAAUGGUGGAGCGGUGAAAUGCGUAGAUAUCAUUUGGAACGCCAAUGGUGAAGACAGCUCGCUGGGGGUGUACUGACACUGAGACACGAAAGCCAGGGGAGCAAACAGG